CAAGUCGAACGGCAGCACGGACUUCGGUCUGGUGGCGAGUGGCGAACGGGUGAGUAAUAUACCGGAACGUAUCCAAUAAUGGGGGAUAACUAAUCGAAAGGUUGGCUAAUACCGCAUACGCCCUACGGGGGAAAGCUAGGGACCUUCGGGCCUGGCGUUAAUGGAGCGGCCGAUAUCUGAUUAGCUAGUUGGUGGGGUAAAGGCUCACCAAGGCGACGAUCAGUAGCUGGUCUGAGAGGACGACCAGCCACACUGGAACUGAGACACGGUCCAGACUCCUACGGGAGGCAGCAGUGGGGAAUUUUGGACAAUGGGCGCAAGCCUGAUCCAGCCAUUCCGCGUGAGUGAAGAAGGCCUUCGGGUUGUAAAGCUCUUUCGCAGGGGAAGAAAACUUAUCCUCUAACAUAGGAUGAGGUUGGCGGUACCUUGAUAAGAAGCACCGGCUAACUACGUGCCAGCAGCCGCGGUAAUACGUAGGGUGCGAGCGUUAAUCGGAAUUACUGGGCGUAAAGCGUGCGCAGGCGGUUUUGAAAGUCAGAUGUGAAAUCCCCGAGCUCAACUUGGGAACUGCGUUUGAAACUCCAAAACUCGAAUAUGUCAGAGGGGGGUAGAAUUCCACGUGUAGCAGUGAAAUGCGUAGAGAUGUGGAGGAAUACCGAUGGCGAAGGCAGCCCCCUGGGAUAAUAUUGACGCUCAUGCACGAAAGCGUGGGGAGCAAACAGGAUUAGAUACCCUGGUAGUCCACGCCCUAAACGAUGUCUACUAGUUGUUGGUGGAGUAAAAUCCAUGAGUAACGCAGCUAACGCGUGAAGUAGACCGCCUGGGGGAGUACGGUCGCAAGAUUAAAACUCAAAUGAAUUGACGG
rnacentral:rRNA from 1 species